UGAACUCUGGCACAUAUGUAGCAGAUGUG
rnacentral:piRNA from 1 species